UUAAGGAAUUCGGCAAAUUUCUUUUCGCCUGUUUAAUAAAAACAUGGCUUUUUGGUAAUAAUUUAAGGUCAGGCCUGCCCAAUGAUAAUUUAAAUGGCUGCGGUAUAUUGACCGUGCAAAGGUAGCAUAAUCAUUAGUUUUUUUAUUGGAAGCUGGAAUGAAGGGUUUGACGAGAAAGAAGCUGUCUUAAUUUAAUUAUUUGAAUUUUAUUUUUGAGUGAGAAAGCUUAAAUAGUUUUGAGGGACGAGAAGACCCUAUAGAAUUUAAUAGUUUAUAUAUUUUAAAAUUUUGGUUUAUGUUAAUUGAUGUAAAUUUAAAUUAAUUUGUUGGGGUGAUAAAAAAAUUUAAAUAACUUUUUUUUGUAUUUUUCAUUAAUAAAUGAUUAUAUGAUCCAUUAGUAGUGAUUAUAAGAAAAAAUUACCUUAGGGAUAACAGCGUUAUUAAUCUGGAGAGUUCAAAUCGAUAGAUUAGAUUGCGACCUCGAUGUUGGAUUAAAAUUGGCUUUUGGUGAAGGGACUAAUAAGCUAAGUCUGUUCGACUUUUAAAAUUUUACAUGAUCUGAGUUUAAACCGGCGUGAGCCAGGUUGGUUUCUAUCUUU
rnacentral:rRNA from 1 species